rnacentral:rRNA from 1 species
GACGAACGCUGGCGGCGUGCUUAACACAUGCAAGUCGAACGGAAAGGCCCUGCUUUUGUGGGGUGCUCGAGUGGCGAACGGGUGAGUAACACGUGAGUAACCUGCCCUUGACUUUGGGAUAACUUCAGGAAACUGGGGCUAAUACCGGAUAGGAGCUCCUGCUGCAUGGUGGGGGUUGGAAAGUUUCGGCGGUUGGGGAUGGACUCGCGGCUUAUCAGCUUGUUGGUGGGGUAGUGGCUUACCAAGGCUUUGACGGGUAGCCGGCCUGAGAGGGUGACCGGCCACAUUGGGACUGAGAUACGGCCCAGACUCCUACGGGAGGCAGCAGUGGGGAAUAUUGCACAAUGGGCGGAAGCCUGAUGCAGCAACGCCGCGUGCGGGAUGACGGCCUUCGGGUUGUAAACCGCUUUCGCCUGUGACGAAGCGUGAGUGACGGUAAUGGGUAAAGAAGCACCGGCUAACUACGUGCCAGCAGCCGCGGUGAUACGUAGGGUGCGAGCGUUGUCCGGAUUUAUUGGGCGUAAAGGGCUCGUAGGUGGUUGAUCGCGUCGGAAGUGUAAUCUUGGGGCUUAACCCUGAGCGUGCUUUCGAUGCGGGUUGACUUGAGGAAGGUAGGGGAGAAUGGAAUUCCUGGUGGAGCGGUGGAAUGCGCAGAUAUCAGGAGGAACACCAGUGGCGAAGGCGGUUCUCUGGGCCUUUCCUGACGCUGAGGAGCGAAAGCGUGGGGAGCGAACAGGCUUAGAUACCCUGGUAGUCCACGCUGUAAACGGUGGGUACUAGGUGUGGGGUCCAUUCCACGGGUUCCGUGCCGUAGCUAACGCUUUAAGUACCCCGCCUGGGGAGUACGGCCGCAAGGCUAAAACUCAAAGGAAUUGACGGGGCCCCGCACAAGCGGCGGAGCAUGCGGAUUAAUUCGAUGCAACGCGUAGAACCUUACCUGGGUUUGACAUGGAUCGGGAGUGCUCAGAGAUGGGUGUGCCUCUUUUGGGGUCGGUUCACAGGUGGUGCAUGGCUAUCGUCAGCUCGUGUCGUGAGAUGUUGGGUUAAGUCCCGCAACGAGCGCAACCCUUGUUCACUGUUGCCAGCACGUUAUGGUGGGGACUCAGUGGAGACCGCCGGGGUCAACUCGGAGGAAGGUGGGGAUGACGUCAAGUCAUCAUGCCCCUUAUGUCCAGGGCUUCACGCAUGCUACAAUGGCUGGUACAGAGAGUGGCGAGCCUGUGAGGGUGAGCGAAUCUCGGAAAGCCGGUCUCAGUUCGGAUUGGGGUCUGCAACUCGGCCUCAUGAAGUCGGAGUCGCUAGUAAUCGCAGAUCAGCAACGCUGCGGUGAAUACGUUCCCGGG